rnacentral:rRNA from 1 species
GACGAACGCUGGCGGCGUGCUUAACACAUGCAAGUCGAACGGAAAGGCCCUGCUUUUGUGGGGUGCUCGAGUGGCGAACGGGUGAGUAACACGUGAGUAACCUGCCCUUGACUUUGGGAUAACUUCAGGAAACUGGGGCUAAUACCGGAUAGGAGCUCCUGCUGCAUGGUGGGGGUUGGAAAGUUUCGGCGGUUGGGGAUGGACUCGCGGCUUAUCAGCUUGUUGGUGGGGUAGUGGCUUACCAAGGCUUUGACGGGUAGCCGGCCUGAGAGGGUGACCGGCCACAUUGGGACUGAGGUAGGGCCCAGACUGCUACGGGAGGCAGAAGUGGGGAAUAGUGCAGAAUGGGCGGAAGCCUGAUGCGGCAACGCCGCGUGCGGGAUGACGGCCUUCGGGUUGUAAACCGCUUUCGCCUGUGACGAAGCGUGAGUGACGGUAAUGGGUAAAGAAGCACCGGCUAACUACGUG